rnacentral:rRNA from 1 species
UAGGGAAUCUUCCACAAUGGACGCAAGUCUGAUGGAGCAACGCCGCGUGAGUGAAGAAGGUCUUCGGAUCGUAAAGCUCUGUUGUUGGUGAAGAAGGAUAGAGGCAGUAACUGGUCUUUAUUUGACGGUAAUCAACCAGAAAGUCACGGCUAACUACGUGCCAGCAGCCGCGGUAAUACGUAGGUGGCAAGCGUUGUCCGGAUUUAUUGGGCGUAAAGCGAGCGCAGGCGGAAUGAUAAGUCUGAUGUGAAAGCCCACGGCUCAACCGUGGAACUGCAUCGGAAACUGUCAUUCUUGAGUGCAGAAGAGGAGAGUGGAACUCCAUGUGUAGCGGUGGAAUGCGUAGAUAUAUGGAAGAACACCAGUGGCGAAGGCGGCUCUCUGGUCUGCAACUGACGCUGAGGCUCGAAAGCGUGGGUAGCGAACAGGAUUAGAUACCCUGGUAGUCCAUGCCGUAAACGAUGAGCGCUAGGUGUUGGGGACUUUCCGGUCCUCAGUGCCGCAGCAAACGCAUUAAGCGCUCCGCCUGGGAAGUACGACCGCAAGGUUGAAAC